CACAGACAGCCAGGAGGUUGGCUUAGAAGCAGCCAUUCCUUAAAAGAGUGCGUAACAGCUCACUGGUCGAGCAUUUUUGCGCAGACAAUGUAACGGGGCUAAGCAUAAAACCGAAAUUCCGGAUUCAUGACAGAAGUUAUGAGUGGUAGGGGAGCAUUGAAUUAACUGACGAAGGAAUACCUGUGAGGGGUUCUGGAGGAGAUUCAAGAGAGAAUGCAGGCAUAAGUAACGAAAAAGCGGGUGCGAUCCCCGCUCGCCGAAAACCUAAGGUUUCCAGGGUAAAGGCAAUCUGCCCUGGGUAAGUCGGCCCCUAAGACGAGGACGAAAGUCGUAGCCGAUGGGAAACUGGUUUAUAAUCCAGUACUUAUUGAGUUUUGAUGGAAUGACGCAUGAGGUGAAAUCCGGCCGGGCGACGGUAGUCCCGGUCAAAGCAGCGAGUUUAUGAGGUUCUGGUUAAAAGAAGAACUGAGAUGAGCUGUGACAGCGAGGAACCAGAAAGUGGGACUGAAGCGGACGUAAUCAUGGUGACGAGAAAUAGUUCCUAAGUAAGGCUUAGUAAACCGUACCGGAAACCGACACAGGUAGGUAGGAUGAGUAAUCUAAGGCGCUCGAGCGAACUCGCGUUAAGGAACUCGGCAAAAUGCGCACGUAACUUCGGAAGAAGUGCGGCUCCCUUUAGAAAUACAGGGAGUGACACAAAGCAGGCCCAGGCGACUGUUUAUCAAAAACACAGCCAUCUGCGAACCAGCAAUGGGACGUAUAGGUGGUGACACCUGCCCGGUACUGGAAGGUUAAGAGGAGAUGUUAUCCGUAAGGAGAAGCAUUGAAUCGAAGCCCCAGCAAACGGCGGCCGUAACUAUAACGGUCCUAAGGUAGCGAAAUUCCUUGUCGGGUAAGUUCCGACCCGCACGAAUGGUGUAACGAUUCUGGGCACUGUCUCAACGCGAGACUCGGUGAAAUUUAUAUUCCGGUAAAGAAGCCGGAUACCCGUAAUUAGACGGAAAGACCCCGUGAACCUUCACCGCAGCUUAUCACUGGGAUUCUAUCCGCCAUGUGUAGGAUAGCCGGGAGGCUAUGAAGCGUGCGCGUUAGCGUGCGUGGAGCCGUUGGUGAAAUACCGGCCCUGGCGGAUGGGAUUUCUAACUCCGGUCCGUGAAGCCGGAUGGGGGACAGUGAUUGGCGGGCGGUUUGACUGGGGCGGUCGCCUCCUAAAGGGUAACGGAGGCGCGCGAAGGUCUCCUCGCGGUGGUUGGAAAUCAUCGUACGAGUGUAAAGGCACAAGGAGGCUUGACUGCGAGAGAGACAGCUCGAGCAGGUACGAAAGUAGGUCUUAGUGAUCUGGCGGUAGCGAGUGGAAGCGCCGUCACUUAACGGAUAAAAGGUACUCCGGGGAUAACAGGCUGAUUUUCCCCAAGAGUUCACAUCGACGGGAAAGUUUGGCACCUCGAUGUCGGCUCAUCGCAUCCUGGGGCUGGAGCAGGUCCCAAGGGUUUGGCUGUUCGCCAAUUAAAGCGGUACGUGAGCUGGGUUCAGAACGUCGCGAGACAGUUCGGUCCCUAUCUGCUAUGGGCGUUGGAUAUGUGAGAGGGGCUGCUUUUAGUACGAGAGGACCGAAGUGGACGAACCUCUGGUGUACCAGUUAUCCUGCCAAGGGUAAGUGCUGGGUAGCUAUCGUUCGGAAGGGAUAACCGCUGAAGGCAUCUAAGCGGGAAGCCCACCUCAAGAUUACAUAUCCCUCGGGGUUUAACCCCGCUAAAGACUCCUUGCACACUACAAGGUUGAUAGGUUGCAGGUCUAAGCACAGUAAUGUGUUCUAGCCGAGCAAUACUAAUAAGUCGUGAGGCUUGACCAU
rnacentral:rRNA from 1 species